GAUGAACGCUGGCGGCGUGCCUAAUACAUGCAAGUCGAGCGAACAGACGAGGAGCUUGCUCCUCUGACGUUAGCGGCGGACGGGUGAGUAACACGUGGAUAACCUACCUAUAAGACUGGGAUAACUUCGGGAAACCGGAGCUAAUACCGGAUAAUAUAUUGAACCGCAUGGUUCAAUAGUGAAAGACGGUUUUGCUGUCACUUAUAGAUGGAUCCGCGCCGCAUUAGCUAGUUGGUAAGGUAACGGCUUACCAAGGCAACGAUGCGUAGCCGACCUGAGAGGGUGAUCGGCCACACUGGAACUGGGCCACGGUCCAGACUCCUAAGGGAGGCAGCAGUAGGGAACCUUCCGCAAUGGGCGAAAGCCUGACGGAGCAACGCCGCGUGAGUGAUGAAGGUCUUCGGAUCGUAAAACUCUGUUAUUAGGGAAGAACAAAUGUGUAAGUAACUAUGCACGUCUUGACGGUACCUAAUCAGAAAGCCACGGCUAACUACGUG
rnacentral:rRNA from 1 species